rnacentral:rRNA from 1 species
GCGUAUAGUACCGUGAGGGAAAGGUGAAAAGAACCCCGGGAGGGGAGUGAAAUAGAACCUGAAACCCUGCACUUACAAGCUGUGGAAGCACAUUUCUUGUGUGACCACGUACUUUUUGUAGAACGGGCCAACGAGUUACGUUAAGUAGCAAGGUUAAGCACUUAAGGUGCGGAGCCGUAGCGAAAGCGAGUUUUAACUGAGCGUUCAGUUACU